GACGAACGCUGGCGGCGUGCUUAGCACAUGCAAGUCGAACGGAAAGGCCCUGCUUGCAGGGUACUCGAGUGGCGAACGGGUGAGUAACACGUGGGUGAUCUGCCCUGCACUUCGGGAUAAGCCUGGGAAACUGGGUCUAAUACCGGAUAGGAGCCAUUUUUAGUGUGAUGGUUGGAAAGUUUUUUCGGUGUAGGAUGAGCUCGCGGCCUAUCAGCUUGUUGGUGGGGUAAUGGCCUACCAAGGCGGCGACGGGUAGCCGGCCUGAGAGGGUGGACGGCCACAUUGGGACUGAGAUACGGCCCAGACUCCUACGGGAGGCAGCAGUGGGGAAUAUUGCACAAUGGGCGCAAGCCUGAUGCAGCGACGCCGCGGGGGGGAUGACGGCCUUCGGGUUGUAAACGCCUUUCGCUAGGGACGAAGCUUUUUGUGACGGUACCUAGAUAAGAAGCACCGGCUAACUACGUG
rnacentral:rRNA from 1 species